AUCAAGAAUAACACUGUACUCUGCGAUAAAUCGUCCAAAUAUUAACUUUCGAUAUCCCGCAGUGGGCAUUAAUCAGAAUAGGAGGAAAUGUCAACUGGGACUUAUCAGAUGACAAGCUAAAUGAACACGUAAACGGCGAUCGUUUAUCGAUCGCGGAUUUUUGUCUAAUUACGAUCAAAAUAAUGGACUAAUGGAGUUGUAAUUGCGGCAAGGGCACCACGCGAAGAGAUGAUUCACAGAUGACGUCCGAUUUAUGGUUUGAAAUUACAAGAGUCGCUGCAAUAAUUAUAAUAACAAGCUGAGCCUUUAGCUCUCUGUACGUGAUAAUUCGUUUUUUCUCCGUUGUUGGGUUCAAGACGAGCAAUUAGAACGCCACAAGCUCUCCUGUGUGUACAUUAGCUAAUUUGAUGAUAUUGUACGUCGCCGGUCACUCGAGAUGGCUUCCGCUCGAACUAAUUAAUUUUUUACAUACGUCUUCCUGUUCAUUACAAAUUUUUGCUUCUGGUUAUUGAAAUUCGUGCAAGGAUCAAUUGCGAGAAGUCUCGCUUUUAAUUAAAACCGUCGAUGCGUUGAAGACUAGCGCAAUCAUCGGGUUCCCGGUAAACCGGGGGGUUUCAUAGUCGGCGCCCUUGCUGUCUUAUUAUUGACGAAUAUCAAAAACCGGAGAACUUCCAAGAACAAUCUACUUUGAAUGCGAGAUGACGUCGCAACGGCUACAAAGCUAAUUAAUGUAAUGCAGAGGUUUGAGCUUUUGUCAAGACAGAUGGAAAUUAAUUAAAUGGAGCCAAGGGAGGCUAGGUAGCAAAGACGGUUAUCGGUCGACGGAAUUGAAUAAAUAAAUGCAAUUUAACGA